AUUGAACGCUGGCGGCAGGCCUAACACAUUCAAGUCGAGCGGAGAGGCGGACGGGUGAGUAAUGCCUAGGAAUAUGCCUGGUAGUGGGGGAUAACGUCCGGCAACGGGCGAUACUCACGCAUACUAUCAGCUUACACUAGGUCGGAUUAGAUAGUUGGUGGGGUAAAGGCCUACCAAGGAGACGAUCCGUAACUGGUCUGAGAGGAUGAUCAGUCACACUGGAACUGAGACACGGUCCCGACUCCGACGGUAUGGAUCAGGUGGGAAUAUUUGACAAUGGGCGAAAGCCUGAUCCAGCCAUGCCGCUUGUGUGAAGAAGGGUUUCGGAUUGUAGAGCACUUUAAGUUGGGAGGCGUUACCAACAGAAUAAGCACCGGCUAACUUCGUGCAAGCAGCCGCGGUAAUUC
rnacentral:rRNA from 1 species